rnacentral:rRNA from 1 species
CAGAGGACCCGAGCGCUACGCGGAUUAACUGGGCUUAAAGGGUGCGUAGGCGGAAACUUAAGUGUCUUGUGAAAUCCCACGGCUCAACCGUGGAACCGCAGGGCAUACUGGGUUUCUUGAGGCUGGUAUGCGCCGCCGGAACUGUAGGUGUAGCGGUGAAAUGCGUAGAUAUCUACAGGAACGCCGAUGGCGAAGACGGGCGGCUGGGCCAGUUCUGACGCUGAGGCACGAAAGCGUGGGGAUCAAACAGGAUUAGAUACCCUGGUAGUCCACGCCGUAAACCAUGCACACUAGACCUUGGAGGCUCUGACGCCGACAGGGUCGAAGUAAAAAUGAUUAGUGUGCCGCCUGGGGAGUACGGUCGCAAGGCUA